rnacentral:lncRNA from 1 species
UGGAAAUUUGCAACUGAAGAGCCUGCCGAGUAGCAUAUGGAACAUGGUCUCUUAUGAAUUCGAGAUUCAACAGUGCCCUUUGAUUGAAAUUUUGCCGGAGAUUUUGGAGCCUGUUACAGGCUUAACUAGUAUUGAUAUAAGUGAAUGUGGAAACUUCAAAAGCCUGCCAUCUAGCAUCAACAAUAUAAGAUCUCUCGAACGACUUGAUUUAUCACAGACAGGUAUUCAAUCUCUGCCGGAACUCCCACAAAAUCUGAAGUCAUUGAAAGUAAAUGGUUGCAAGUUUUUACAAGCUCUACCAAGCAACACAAGUGAGCUGUUGCAUCUGAAGCAACUCCAUUUUAACGAAUGCCCACAACUGGCAAAUUUCCUUGUUCAUCCCAUCUUGUAUCAGUCACAGGAGGUAACGUAAAUGCCACCCUGAUCUUUUAUCUCGAAAUAUAUAUGAGCUACGAGAAGAGAAGUGUUCAAAAUAAUUUAUGAUGCGUAUCUUUGUGGGUGACAGUGUCAACUUUUAUGUUCAAGAAGUGAGCUUCCUGAAUGGUUAACCUACAAAAGCAUGAACUUGAAGGAAGAGGACGAGGAUUCUUGCAAUGUGAAGGUAGAGUUGCCUCCUCCUCAUAGCACUGGCCAGCCAAUGAUUGUUAAGGGAAUUGCGUUUGGGGUUGUGUUCUCUUCCCGCUUUUGGUUGGAUAUGAGAUGCGAUUGCAAAGUCGGCAACGCCAUCGUUGCAUCUUGGAAUUGCAGUAACUGGUAUUUUUACAGUGAACGUGAUGAGUCAUCGAGAGAAAAAUUAUGGUUGCAAUACGACAAGAUGGCUGUGGGAAGUAAAGAAGACGUAGUGUGGUAUGUCAAAUAUGCUGGAGCCACUGCUACGUUCAAUUUUCACAUUCGUGACCGGUUUGGAACAGCCAAAAUAAAAGGAUGUGGGGUUUGUCUGCUCUACUAAAGUAGUUUGCAGGGGGAGGGAAAAGGACUUGCCAUGAUACAGGUACAUUGCUGAUGUUGUUAAAAGCUUGUUAUCCAGUUGAAUGUUCUCUUGUUGUUGUCAACUCUACUGUGGUUUCAUAUAGUUGCUUGUUGUUAACUCAUUAUUGACCUAUUGGUCACGCUAUAAUCGAUGUGUACAUGAUAUUUUUAAGACCAUGUCGAUUGUUUUUUUGGGUGGAAAAGGAAAACCUUAUAUAGUCAUUUAGUCUGUUAGUUAUUAGUUUUUUUAAGUUUGAAAAAAAGUUAAUUAGUUUCUUACUCGGUUUGUUCGGUUUUCCGUUGGUUAACCUAGCCAAACCAAAUUCCACCUAUCGGGUUUAAUUAAUACAUAUAGAAAGUAUAAUCUAUCGAUUUCGUGCAAAAAAAAUGGCACCACUUAUCGAAAGUAUAUUUUAUGACAUCAAUUUUGAAUGAAUUUAAUGGAAAUUGAUAAUUGGCAGCAUUGGCCGUUAAAAAUGACGGCAAACUUGACACUAUUAUAACAAAAAAAAAUUGGGUGAAAGUUGAUAGAUUGAGCUUUCUAUGUGUAUUAAUAAUUAAGCCUUAAAUCCAGAUUAUACUAAGAAACCCUAUUACAAUCCUAAUUUCUAAACUUUAGUUGUAAGGGUUUUGUUCUCGCGGUUACUAAACUGCAAAAAAGGAUACUGAAAUGCGCGCACGUUCUCGCAGUUAUUAGAAACAUCUCCUCGCCUGAUGCGUUACUUGCUUGCAUUCCUUGCAGAGAAAAAUUAAAAAGCUGUUAUCCAACGGAACAGCAAUUUAGUGGGUGGGACAUGGGUUGCAUAAUGAUCUACUUGGUACGCCUAUAAUCAUUUCGAUUGCUCAAGUUUAGCUUUUGAAACUUUAUUUUUUUAUACGAAACUUUUUUAUACGAAGUGAUCCCUAGGAUCAUGUCAGAAGUGAAGCAUGUAAGUUCAUCAAUUUGCACUUUCACGUUUGUUCGUUUGUGUUAUGAGAAUCGAUAAUUUUUUGAAAACGAUGUAUAUAAAGAAAUUGUCAUUUCUCAAAAUAUCUGUAUGGAAUCUAUAUAUCUAUGGUUGAGUUUUUACUAUAAAUAUAUACCUUUUGGUUUCAUUACUGGAUUAUUUUAUAAAACAAGGAUAAUAUUGGAAUUUUAAAUAAAUAUCAAUUUGAAAAUCCGUAAAACUUAACUUUUUGUUGAAUUUUGUUUUUGGUGUUUUAGAGCUCAAUUUUUCCAUCAAAUUUUGAAAUUUACUUUUUCUAUCAAACGAGGGAAUCUUAAAAAAUUAUUGUUUCACUCAAAACACAAACCAAAAACACCAAAACCAAACAUGUUAUAACUUGAAGACUUGAAUUUGUAACAUGUUAUAAAUUUCCAUGGCUGAAUUAGGAGCUGAUAGAUCACAAUUCUUGUUUUGCUUCAGCAUUUUUAAGGACCUGUAGCAGGUGCUCCUUUCAGGAAAUUAGGAUGCAUGACUUUUUCCGUAUGGUCGCGCGAUGUCGUGGAAUAUAAAAUUGAUUAUAAUUAGAUGUUCCGUAUUUGAAUUUUACGAGUCUCCUUUAAAAAGAGAAAGUAAAUUUACGAAUUUGAAGUUUGCAUAGGCCGAGCGUAGGUUGUGCUUAAUGGAAUUAGUUGGAUGAGGUAUUUUUGCAUAUGUGGUAUUUUGAAGUAAAUAAUGUGUUAUAGAAAGAAUGUGGUAUUUCUGAAGUGUAAGGUUUGUGAUGUGGUCAUGCGAAAAUUAUUUUGUUUUGGUGAAUGAGUUAAUUCAAUGUGAUAUUUCGUACAUGGAAAAGCCAAAUUAUUAGUUGAAAUACCACGAUUUUUUGAAGAUGUCAAACGAAUUAUUUUGAGCUGAAUAACUCAAAUUAUAUAACUCAAACAUUUGAUUAUUUUAUAUAAGGUAACAAUUAAAAAUAAAUAAAUCAACUAUUUUAUACAUAAAAAAAUCUCAUUACAUAAAUAUAUCAAUAAAAACUUAAUUGAACGAUUUAGACUCAACUCGAAUAUUUCAAUUUUCAUAUCCUGUUUGACCAUAUAGAGUUCAAUCGAAUUGUCAUCAUCAGAAAUAGUUGUUGUAAUUAAAAAAAAUAAAAACCAUUUGGAAGGAUAAGUGUUAAUUACGUGUAAGAUUAGGUAGGCCGGCCAUUAACCAAAAAAGUCAUCAAUUAUUCAGAAAACAAAUGAUUCAGUCGCAAUCUAAAGUCUUUGUUUAAUUAGCAUAAACUUGUUACAAUUAAAAAAGACCCCCUGACUCAUAAGUCUUCAAAUUAAUCUCAGCCGUCCAGAUGAUCUAUUCAUUGGCAGGAUAACACAAGUGAUCAAUUAUUCAUAACAUAGAAAAUUCAUUCACUCAUAAUCUAAACUCCCCCGCCCAACUUGUUCAUCAUGCUAUAAACAUAUUCAGAGCACCAGCAGAAAAAAGUCAUACAUCAUUUUCUGAGUUAAUGGCUGCAAUUUCUUCUUCUUCUUCUUCUUCUUCUUCUUCUUCUGCUUCUUCUUCUGCAUCUCAUAGCUCUCUGUACGAUGUUUUCCUGUGUUUUCGAGGCGACGACACGCGCAAUGGUUUCACCAGCCACCUCAUGUCUGCUCUGUGUGAUAGGCAAAUCCAAACCUUCAUAGACGACAAGCUCGAGAGAACAGAGAGCAUCGGUGAGCUUCUAUCCAUCCUCGAAAGAACUGCUCUUUCUGUGGUGGUUUUUUCUGAGAAAUUUGCGGAUUCGGUCUGGUGCCUCGAUGAGGUAGCAACCAUAGCCCGAAAGAUGAAAGAAUCUGGGCAUCGGGUUCUACCGGUUUUCUACAAAGUGGAUCCAUCAGACGUGACAGACGACACUGGAAGCUGUGCGGCUACCAUGGAUAGUGAACAUAAUAAGUCCAAGAGUAGUUAUGUAGAGGAUAAAAAGAGAUGGAUGGAUGCUUUGAAUGUUGUGGCUGAUUCUGCUGGCCAUACCUCAGAAGCUAUCAAGUAAGUUACUUGUUAAAGUUAAUUUUAAUAGUUGUUUCGUUUCUGUUAGAUUGAGCUUUAAAUUGUGUAUCUUUUUUGUUCUUUGAUUUGUUUUGCAUGGGGUUCUUAGAAAUGAAUCUGAAUUGGUUAAUGCAAUUGUGGAAAAUGUUUUGAAGAAACUAAUUGACAUGUCACCGGUUAUCAAGAAUGAUAACUUGGUUGCUAUGAGUUUACGUAUUUCCGAGGUUGAGCGACUACUGGCUAUGGACAAAGUAAAAGAGACUCGCGUUGUUGGGUUAUGGGGAAUGGGCGGGGUUGGAAAAACAACUCUAGCAAGAGCGUGUUAUGAAAGGAUAACUUCGUCCGACAAAAGGAUUAAGUGUCUUUUUAUUUCAAAUGUAAAUGAAAAAUACGGAAAGCAUCUUGACGUUGAAGAAGUUGUUUGCAAACUCUAUUCAAAACUGUUGGAUGAGGAUAAAAUUGAUCGUGAAGAUUUGAAUAUUACUUAUCGACGGGAACGUCUGUCGCGUUUGAGGGUAUUCAUUGUCCUUGACAAUGUUGAAACUUCGCAGCAAUUGGAACAAUUUGUUUUGGGAGGUGUCUCCGAUCUCAACACAAUCUUUGCAACGGGGAGUAGAAUCCUCAUGACGACAAGAAAUAGAGAUGUGCUUAAAAACUCGACGAGGGAGAUUUACAAAGUUGAGUGUCUGAAUGACGAGGAAUCCACCAAGUUGUUUAGUUUGCAUGCGUUCAUACCCGGCUUCCCUCAAGAUAAUUGGACAGAUAAGUGUCGUCUUGCAACAUCAUAUUGUAAGGGACAUCCCUUGGCGCUUAAGAUCAUGGGGGGUGCAUUGUUCAGUCGAGAUAUGCAUUAUUGGGAAAGUUUCUUGAGCGGGUUGAAGCAAACUGGAGAGACAGAUAUCCGUAACUUUUUUAGGAGGAGUUACGAUAUGCUUGGGGAAAUAGAGCAAAUAAUAUUUCUUGAUGUUGCAUGUCUAUUUGAUAGCAUACCAAAAUCUCAAUUGAUUGAGUAUAUGUCCACCAUGCACCCCGCUUCUCUUGUUAAGGUGGAAAUUUUAAUCGAUAGCUCCCUCUUAGCUUGUGUUUCUAACGAGAAGAUUGAGGUGCAUGAUCUACUUAAGGAGAUGGCUUGGAAUAUUUUCAAUGGAGAACCAAAGCUUAGCAAACGCAACAGAUUCCUGAUGAUAUUCGUAAAUUGCUUAGGGCUCGAGAUGUUCACAAGUUUUUUGUAACUUCAGAAGUGAAAAAUUGGAAUACAUCAUUUCUCGGCUUCUUCAAAGCCAUAGGAAUGGUGGUCCUGCCAAAAAUGAAGAGAAGAAGAAUCGCUGACAUGCAUUGGAAAGGAAAAUGUCCAUUGGAGGAACAUCGAAUGACAGAAGGUAUACGUUUGGAUCUUUCGAAAGCCAAAGAGAUGUAUUUGGAAGCUGAUGCCUUUGAGGGGAUGAAUUCUCUUAGCUUUCUCAAGUUUCAUGGCUAUGUGGAUAAAACUAAAGUUCAUUUGCCUUAUGGUGGACUUAGCUCACUUCCUGAUGGGUUGAGAUGGUUGGAAUGGUAUCGAUAUCCUUCAAAAUCUCUACCAUCAAAUUUUUAUCCUCAGCACCUUACCCAUCUCAUUAUACAAGAAAGUCCAAUUCAAAGAUGUUGGAAAGGACAUGACCAAGUAAGUUUUCUGAUGAUCUUCUAUUUGACCUCUUAAUUACUUACAAUCAUUACUUAACCUUUUUCCUUUUUCUACAGCCCCAACUUGUGAACUUGUUGGUACUCAAUCUCUCGUUCUGUAGCAAUCUAAUUGCUAUUCCAAAUAUAUCAAGUUCUUCAAAACUCGAAGAACUCAUUCUUUGUGGAUGUGAAAGCCUAGUUGAGGUACCUUGUCAUGUCCAAUACUUGACCAAGUUGAUAACAUUAGACCUCGGUCAUUGCCUAAACCUCAAGCGUCUUCCGCCUAGACUUGACUCAAAGUUGCUUAAGUAUGUUUCGAUGGUGAGUUGUCUCAAUGUCAGGCACUGCCCGGAUAUUAUUUCAAAAGAGUUGGAGACAUUGAAUUUAGCUCGGACAUCUCUCGUAGAACUACCAAGUGCAAUUUACAAUGUCAAGAAAAAUGGAAUCUUAUAUCUUCAUGGUGAAAACAUUACCAAAUUUCCUGCUGUUACAGCAGACUUGAAGACUUUUUCUUUGAACAGUACUUCAAUAAGAGAUAUUGAUUUGUAUGAUCGUCACACUUUUUCUGAAUUGAUUAUGCCGAAAUUCAACACACUGUGUCUUUCUGGAAAUUUGCAACUCAAGAGCCUGCCGAGCAGCAUAUGGACCAUGGUCUCUUAUCAACUCGAGAUUCGACAGUGCCCUUUGAUUGAAAUUUUGCCGGAGAUUUUGGAGCCUGUUACAGGCUUAACUAGUAUUGAAAUACGUGAAUGUGGAAACUUCAAAAGCCUGCCAUCUAGCAUCAACAAUAUAAGAUCUCUCCAACGACUUGAUUUAUCAAACACAGGUAUUCAAUCUCUGCCAGAACUCCCACCAAAUCUGGAGACAUUGUAUGUAAAUGGUUGCAAGUUUUUACAAGCUCUACC